CUUGUGUACUUGACCUAAGUGCCCCCCUGCAUUUAACGCCUUUACAAACUUCCCAGGAACAUGAAAAACAUGCUACAAUAUUGACAAUUAUCUAAUCAUCCUAUGAAAACAAAAGAAAUAGGACGAGGUGGCCGAGUGGUUAAGAUAAUGGACUGCUAAUCCAUUGUGCUCAGAUCAUCAAGAAAAAACACAUUAAUGCCAUUCAACAAGUCCUUUUGCAAUGACACGUUGGUGCAUCCUGCUGAUUCAAAGUGAGCAAUGUUUGUUUACAAAUCUGGUCGUUUUCCAUUAAUCACAGGCACAUAAUUAAUUAAGCUUUAGUGGAGAAUCAAGCAUUGAUCCCGCUACUUCUCACAUGCUAAGCUCUACCAUUUGAGCUAAUCCCCCAACUCAAAAUGAAAAUUUGUGCACUUGGCCUAAGUGCCCCCUGUAUUUAACGCCUUUACAAACUUCCCAGGAACAUGAAAAACAUGCUACAAUAUUGACAAUUAUCUAAUCAUCCUAUGAAAACAAAGGCAGUAGGACGAGGUGGCCGAGUGGUUAAGGCGAUGGACUGCUAAUCCAUUGUGCUCUGCACGCAUGGGUUCGAAUCCCAUUCUCGUCGCAUUUACCUGAUGCUCGCUUACCAUGUAAGUGUUUGGAGAAAGGCUCAGAUCGUCAAGAAAACCUCAUUGAUGCAUGCAACGACACACAGGUGCAUCCUGCUGAUUUCGAUUGUGCAGCAGUUGUUUAUCAAUCUGGUCAUUUUCCACUAUUCACAGGCACAAAAUUAAUUAAGUUUUAGUGGAGAAUGCGGGCGUUGAUCCCGCUACUUCUCGCACGCUAAGCGAGCGCUCUACCAUU
ensembl:lncRNA